GAUGGGGAAUGCCGCUCUUGCAGCAGGAAGAAGCGGAGGAAGACAAUACAUGAAGCUGGGAGGCCUUUUCCCCGACUAGAAGGGCUGCGGGCAGGGAGUCAGAAGGAAAUCGGGAACAAAUGACCCUUAACGAAGCUGUUAUCAGAUCCGCGCCUUAUCACCGCCGUGCAUGGAGGCAACCCAGCUGCUUUCAUGGAACACCAGGAGCGGCGGCGGGGUCAAGGCCUGAGCACUUCUCCAUCGGCUUCCCUGCGGGCAAGGCAGGAAGAUCCCAGCCAAACCCGGCUCUCUGUGCUCCCUGGUGCUCAAAGCAACCGUUACCCACGUCGCUGUUCAUUGCGCUAAUUAACGCGGUGAGGUUCUGACAGUGGGAAGGUCCCAGCCCAGGCUGCGUUGUGCUGGAGGAGGCUAACCCUAACCCUAACCCGGGUCCCUGCAGGCAUUUGUGUGACUAAUUAAUGUUGAAAUCAGUGAGGAACCGGUGUCUGCGAGGGAUGAUCCCCUCCAUGCAUCUGAAGACGUGCCGUGGUGUUUACCUGGUGUCAGCAGUCACCAUGUCCACUAUGUCGGUCACCUCAUAGAGGAGACAAGGGUAAAACACAUAAAGUUUGCCUGCUGCUCUCUUUCCCACAGCUGGGAAUGCUUGCACUUCUCCAGCCUGCAGCUUUGCUCGCCCAGCCACUGGUUUUCUCCUUUGUCUGCAGGCUUCGGUGAUGCCACCUUGUUCCCAGCUGAAGUGUGAGCACUGAGCUCGGCCCCUGGUGCCUGCAGAGAGCUGGCACCUCACCCAGCUGGGGUGGGAUACGAGCAAAGCGAAACCCUGCGUUCACUGCUGGCUCCUGGUGGUUGCUGCAAAGGCUUUCCCAAGCAGUGUUCCGCUCGGCAUCGUUGCUCUUCACAGGUGUGCACGUGUCCGUUGAGAUGCAGCUGGAAAUCUGGCAUUGCAAUGUUCUGUGUAACGCAGACACUGAUAAUGCACAAUAGCUUCUUUGUCUUCGAAAGGAAUACUUCAAAGCCAUUGCUUUGAAGCCUGGAAGCAGCUGCACUUUGCAGAGGCAGCGCUGGUAGCACUGUGAUCCUUUGCCAUCAGGCUGCCCGUGCUGUCCUGGCUGCUCCUGAGCCUUCCCCGCUCACCUUAGGAUAUUGCUGAAGACAUGAGCUGAGAAAGCAAAGAGCUCUGCAUGUUUCUCGCUGGCCUUUUCCUAGCGAGCUGAGCAAUGACACUGCUGUGACAGCAGCUCAGCGUCACGUUGGGCUUGAAGAAGCAUCCCAGCUUCCAGCAGCUCCUGGUGCUGGUGGGUGGUCACAGAAGCGGGUCUGGCUCCCUCCUGGUUUACAAGGAUUUCCUUGCCCAGAACUUGCUUUUCCAAGUGCUUUUCCAAGUUUCCAACUUGCUUUUUUCUGGUGGGUGCUCAUCUGACAGCUGGACGCAGCUCCUCAACCUUAGCUGGAAAGGAUCCUGACGUCCAGAAGACUCAGCUUGGAUAUGCCGAACAUAUGAUGGAAUGGGUGCUGCUCCGGUGGGUGGUUUUAGUUCUCUUUCAUUGCCAACAUGCUAACGGGAAUUCGAUGAGAAGAUCACCUUACUGUGAACUUUUUAAUGAGCACCACUUCCUUGUCGUAACGAAAUUGAGAAGGGAUUAAUCACCUGAUUUAAUUACCGAGAGAAAAGACGUCUUCCAGGAGGAUUUCCAUCUGAUGUGUUCUGGACAAUCCUUGUAUAUGGAAGCAGCAGGAUGAUUCCUUGUGGAGCAAUCCCAUUUGUGGCACCUGGCAAUACGAGCACCUCCCUGAUGCCUGACCAGCACCAAGGCAUUGGUUCCCACGAGCUUUCUGCUCUCCUCUGCCUUUGCCUUAGUGGAAGUUUGUUGAGACUGGCCCAUCUGGUUUGCAAGUAUCUCCAGUUUAGUGAGCUGCUAUCUCGUGGCAGGGCUCUGCUUUGGAAAUCUCUGCAGCUGGGGCUUUGGGAUUGCUCUCGUUUUCCUGAGAUGGUGGUGGAGCCCUCCUGUGUUUCUCCUUCGGGUCUGGGGUGAACAGGGAUGCAAAGCACACAGCAGCCCUCCUGUCCUUAGCAGAGCAUUUCAGAAGCCUUUUUUUUUUUUUUUCCCCACUCAAAGAUCUUGGGGCCGACCAAUUCCUUCUUGUUCCUCCUGUUUAUAAUUGCUUUGCCAGCAGCAUCCCACCGGAUCCUUUCCAGAUCUCUCACCCCUUUCCAGCCUUGUUUAUUCAUCAGCAUCCGUGCUGGCCGGCCAGCUGCCACAGAGAGGAGCUGUUUGGCUGCACACCGGCUUCUGCUUCCCAGGAAAACAGGCAAACAAACGCUCACCAGCCUGCCUCUGCAGCCUGCUUUCUGCUGCCUUUUGUCUCGUGUCCAGCCCUGAAAUGCCGUGUGUCCAUCCACUCCCCAGCAGUUCUUGCUGACCGUCCUCCGUGCUCAGCCACGUUGCUGGAAGUGCUGCCUUUCCCAGAUGCUGCACGUGCCCUUCAGCUGUGGUUUUGUGUUUCACAUUUUACUUGACAUUCUCUUCCUGCAGGCUGUCACGGACUGGGCAGGCCUGGUCCCCUGCACUGCCUCUAGCACUGCUCCUUCCUCAGGCUGAAUGUAACACAUGUGUGGCUGUGGGAUGUACCAGCUCUGCGUGGUCCACCUGGAGAAGGGAUCCGGCUCAGCCCGCUGUGAUGUUCACCAUGCAGAGCUCCUCGUUGUUCUCAAAGCUCUGCCUCAGGAGAGCAAGAAAUGCUAGAUGCAUGAGGGCAGAAAGAUGGGGCUCAGCAGAGCGGAGUUUCUUUUUGGUUUAAAUGGGUUCCAAACGCAUUUGUCGAAGUGGUGAUGUGGAAGCUUGCUUCAAUUCGUGCCGCGUUAUGCUCAGUGCCAUUUAUCACUGCCGAGAUGGAUCACCCAGCACCACUGAGGGGCUUCUAGGAGCCUGCUGGGCACUGACAGAACUGUAGGACAGCUUGAUUUCUCUCAGUAUCCAUUUGAUUCUGCGACCCUUGGUGAUUUUGCAGUAGGUUUUGUCUCAUCACAGGUGGAAUCUCUGUUGCAGCAGCCAGGGGCUGGCUGUGCCUCAGUUUCCCCAUUACAAGAGAUAUGGCAGGCUCCAAUGCCCUUGCUUUAACUCACUGUGCAUCAAGAGCACUGUAAUAGAGCUAGAGCAAGGAAACUAACAUCAUGGGAUGGAUCCCCUGGCUGCUGACAGGCUCUCCCAAACCGCCCAGCAGUAGCAGAUAUUCUGUCUGUCCCAGUGGUGCAGCCUUGAUCUCCAUUUGUCCAGCACUCUUCAGCAGCCAGUGCUCGUGGUGACAGCUGCUCUGGAACCAGAGAUCCCCUCACCAGUUCGGUGGGUUCCAGCCUCUGCUCUGACCUGCCACGCAGGCCUGCAAGGUCCCUGCAGGGUGUGUUUCAGCCCUGCGCUACGUGCACUUUGUGCCUCCGGGAGCCAGGAGCUUGCAUCCUUGAGGCAGCAGGACCUGUGAGCUCGUUGUGGAAGUCCAGUUCCAAAGAUGCCUGCAGCAGGGGGCUUGGAGCUUGAUGGUCCUUGAGGCCCCACCCAACCCAAGCCAUUCUGUGACUCUAUGUGCCUAAACCAGGUUCAGCUUGGGGUUUGCAACAAAGGGAUGAUGGUAACAGUGGUUGUUAUUGGUAUUGCUCACAGGAACCCAUCCUGUUAUGUAGAGGUUGGACCACUAGCAUCAGGAACUGUUUUCUUUUUAAUGAAAAAUGCAUUUAUGGGCUUUUGCUGACUUUUCUCAGCCUUCUCGCUGUGUUUCCUUAAGGUGAAUUGCUUUGGAGGAGCGUUCAGCUGUGUCCCCAGGUGGAACUCCUCAGGCUGGAAGCGAGCGGGUCCAAAUGGGGGAGUUCUGCAAUGGCAGUCCUCAAUGGGCUUCCAGCUGUUGUCACACAUGGCAUGAACACAGCUGGGCUGGUUGCAGUCUGUUAUUAGUCACUUCAAGAGAGCUGUGCAUGAGGGCUUAAAGGGAGUCAUGGCUGUAGCUGGAGUUUUCUAGAAACACGGAGGUUUAAGCACACGCUUCUUCAAUAUAUAUAUAUUUUUAUGUGAAUUUGAAUAAAUAGAAGUCGGUAUAUCCAUUCCGGAGCAAUCUUUCCAAUCAUAGCAUGUUCAUGCUGCUGAGUGCAUGCUCGCCCUCUGAAUCAUUCUCUAGAUCAGUCUCACCCAGGUCUUUGGUGUCCACAGACAGCUUCCUGCUGCAAGGGCUGAGUGAAGCCAGCACUCAUUGCUCCCAGCACAACUCGUCCUCCCGAAAAAUGCACCAGCCCUCAGCCCCUCUGCCAGGAGCACAUCCCUGCCAUCUGCAUACAGCUCUGCUCAGCGCUUCGGCUCAGGGCAAUUAAGCAAUUGUCCUCGGUAAGGGGAACAGAACAGACGUGAAAUAUGGACUGCGUUCGUUUUUAUGUCCUCUGAAAUCUUCUGCUGGUGAAUCUAAUCUUUGCAGUGCUCGGUUUCUCAGCGUCUUCCUGCCCCUGUCUUCCUUCCCGUGCCGCCUUCUGCAACGUUUAUUGCAUUAACAAGAAGUGGGCAUGACUUCUGUCUAAUAACAUUUUAUCUGAGAUCAGGCUGUGCUGGGAAGAAAGUCAUUGAGUUAAUUCAGUUUGCUCUGACAUGGCACUGAAUCAAUAUCGGUGUGUGCCUGGCCGUGAAGCAUUGCUUGUAAGAUCUGUAUUCAAGCCAGUGUCUCAAGGCACUGGCUGCCCAAAGCACUCAUCCUAGGGAAGAGUGACCCCUCAAGCAGCCAGGACCUCAUCCCAGGUGCACAAGUUGCUGUCAAAGUGUGAAGCCCUUCCUUUAGUUCUUGCAGCCUCUUCCUUUAGUUCUUGCAGCCUCUUCCUUUAGUUCUUGCAGCCUCUUCCUUUAGU